AGUGAACGCUGGCGGCAGGCCUAACACAUGCAAGUCGAGCGGCCAGACAGUAAGCGUUCGCUCCUGACGGUGGCGAGUGGCGGGCGAGUGAGGCGUGCAUAACCUACUAAUUUUUCGUGGGUGAUAACGUAAGGACAGAUAUGCUACUGCAGAAUACGUUCUACGGCUGAGAGCAGUGGAGCUUCGGAGUUUGGCCGUCAGUAUGAGAUGGUUCCGUGUUGCAUCAAUGAGUUGGUAAGGUAACAGCAUACCAAGGCAACGAUGCUUAGCUGACCUGAGAGGGUGAUCCGCCACACUGUAACUGAGACACGUCCCAGACUCCUACGGGAGGCAGCAGUGGGGAAUCUUGCGCAAUGGGCGAAAGCCUGAUAGAGCAACACCGCGUGAGUGAUGAAGGCCUUCGGCUGGUAAAGCUCUGUUGUUAGGAAAGAAAAAAAGCUGUUUUAUCCCUGGCGGUUCUGACGGUACCGAAAGAAUAAGCCCCGGCUAACUUCGUG
rnacentral:rRNA from 1 species